rnacentral:rRNA from 1 species
GAUGAACGCUGGCGGCGUGCUUAACACAUGCAAGUCGAACGAAGCACUUUGAAGUUUUCGGACAGAUGAGUGGCUGAGUGGCGGACGGGUGAGUAACGCGUGAGUAACCUGCCUCAUACAGGGGGAUAACAGUUAGAAAUGACUGCUAAUACCGCAUAAGCGCACGGUAUCGCAUGAUACAGUGUGAAAAACUCCGGUGGUAUGAGAUGGACCCGCGUCUGAUUAGCUAGUUGGUGGGGUAAUGGCCUACCAAGGCGACGAUCAGUAGCCGGCCUGAGAGGGUGAACGGCCACAUUGGGACUGAGACACGGCCCAAACUCCUACGGGAGGCAGCAGUGGGGAAUAUUGCACAAUGGGGGAAGCCCUGAUGCAGCGACGCCGCGUGAGUGAAGAAGUAUUUCGGUAUGUAAAGCUCUAUCAGCAGGGAAGAAAAUGACGGUACCUGACUAAGAAGCACCGGCUAAAUACGUGCCAGCAGCCGCCGUAAAAC